rnacentral:misc_RNA from 1 species
CCAAGAGAUACACCAUUUCUGUAAAACAAUAUCUCAUCAUGGUCCAGAUCAAUGCAACACCCAAUGACAUCACCAGCAACCCAUGACUGGCCAUAAGGCUCAGCCUCCUUAUUCCACUUUCUAACCCUUUUCCCAUCAAAUGCAUAAGAAUCAUCUGCAUCACCUACACCCUUAUGGUCAGUGAAAGGGCAAGAUAGGGUUGCCCAUCCAAGUUG